rnacentral:rRNA from 1 species
AGUUAGCAUGCAGUCUCAGUACAAGCCGAACUAAGGUGAAACCGCAAAAGGCUCAUUAAAUCAGUUAUGGUUCCUUGGAUCGUACAAUCCAUUACUUGGAUAACUGUGGUAAUUCUAGAGCUAAUACAUGCAAACAGAGUCCCGACCAGAAAUGGAAGGGACGCUUUUAUUAGAUCAAAACCAAUCGACGUCCGUCUUCCUCCGGGUCGACGGCGCCGUACUCCUUGGUGACUCUGAAUAACUUUUGGCAGAUCGCACGGUCUUCGAACCGGCGACGCAUCCUUCAAAUGUCUGCCUUAUCAACUGUCGAUGGUAGGUUCUGCGCCUACCAUGGUUGUAACGGGUAACGGGGAAUCAGGGUUCGAUUCCGGAGAGGGAGCCUGAGAAACGGCUACCACAUCCAAGGAAGGCAGCAGGCGCGCAAAUUACCCACUCCCGGCACGGGGAGGUAGUGACGAAAAAUAACGAUACGGGACUCAUCCGAGGCCCCGUAAUCGGAAUGAGUAUACUCUAAAUCCUUAUACGAGUAUCAAUUGGAGGGCAAGUCUGGUGCCAGCAGCCGCGGUAAUUCCAGCUCCAAUAGCGUAUAUUAAAGUUGUUGCGGUUAAAAAGCUCGUAGUUGGAUCUGUGUCCCGCACCGUCGGUUCACCGCCUGUCGGUGUUCAACUGGUGUGUAUGCGGGACGUCCUGCCGGUGGCGGUCCGGUUCCCCGUGGGUACGUAGGGGCGUCCUUGCUUACGCUUGCGUCGUCCCCGAAGGCCUGCGCGGUGUAUCCGGCCGCCUUUUCAAUCCCGUCGCGGUGCUCUUCACUGAGUGUCGAGGCGGGCCGGCACGUUUACUUUGAACAAAUUAGAGUGCUUUAAGCAGGCCCUGUCCCGCCUGUAUGUUGUGUGCAUGGAAUAAUGGAAUAGGACCUCGGUUCUAUUUUGUUGGUUUUCGGAAUCUGAGGUAAUGAUCAAUGGGGACAGGCGGGGGCAUUCGUAUUGCGACGUUAGAGGUGAAAUUCUUGGAUCGUCGCAGACGGACCGAAGCGAAAGCAUUUGCCCAGUAUGUUCUCGUCGAUCAGA